GAUGAACGCUGACAGAAUGCUUAACACAUGCAAGUCUACUUGAAGCUAACUUCGAUUAGUGGAGGGUGGCGGACGGGUGAGUAACGCGUAAAGAACUUGCCUCACAGUUUGGGACAACAUUUGGAAACGAAUGCUAAUACCGGAUAUUAUGAUACUUCUGCAUGGAAGAAUCAUGAAAGCUAUAUGCGCUGUGAGAGAGCUUUGCGUCCCAUUAGCUAGUUGGAGAGGUAACGGCUCACCAAGGCGAUGAUGGGUAGCCGGCCUGAGAGGGUGAACGGCCACAAGGGGACUGAGACACGGCCCUUACUCCUACGGGAGGCAGCAGUGGGGAAUAUUGGACAAUGGACCAAAAGUCUGAUCCAGCAAUUCUGUGUGCACGAUGAAGUUUUUCGGAAUGUAAAGUGCUUUCAGUUGGGAAGAAGCAAGUGACGGUACCAACAGAAGAAGCGACGGCUAAAUACGUGCCAGCAGCCGCGGUAAUACGUAUGUCGCAAGCGUUAUCCGGAUUUAUUGGGCGUAAAGCGCGUCUAGGUGGUUAUAUAAGUCUGAUGUGAAAAUGCGGGGCUCAACUCCGUAUUGCGUUGGAAACUGUAUGACUAGAGUACUGGAGAGGUAAGCGGAACUACAAGUGUAGAGGUGAAAUUCGUAGAUAUUUGUAGGAAUGCCGAUGGGGAAGCCAGCUUACUGGACAGAUACUGACGCUAAAGCGCGAAAGCGUGGGUAGCAAACAGG
rnacentral:rRNA from 1 species